CAGCCGCCACGGUAAUACGAAGGGGGCUAGCGUUGCUCGGAAUUACUGGGCGUAAAGGGAGCGUAGGCGGGUCGUUUAGUCAGAGGUGAAAUCCCGGGGCUCAACCUCGGAACUGCCUUUGAUACUGGCGACCUUGAGUAUGGGAGAGGUAAGUGGAACUCCGAGUGUAGAGGUGAAAUUCGUAGAUAUUCGGAAGAACACCAGUGGCGAAGGCGACUUACUGGCCCAUUACUGACGCUGAGGCUCGAAAGCGUGGGGAGCAAACAGGAUUAGAUACCCCAGUAGUCCCUGUCUCUUAUAC
rnacentral:rRNA from 1 species